rnacentral:rRNA from 1 species
UACAGAGGGGGCAAGCGUUGUUCGGAAUUACUGGGCGUAAAGGGCGCGUAGGCGGCCUGUUAAGUCGAACGUGAAAUACCCGGGCUCAACCCGGGAACUGCGUCCGAUACUGGCAGGCUUGAAUUCGGGAGAGGGAUGUGGAAUUCCAGGUGUAGCGGUGAAAUGCGUAGAUAUCUGGAGGAACACCGGUGGCGAAGGCGGCAUCCUGGACCGAUAUUGACGCUGAUGCGCGAAAGCCAGGGGAGCAAACGGG